CCCCCCCCCUCUUUGUGUUAGACCUAAGACUCGAACCACAUUUGGUCCUUGAGAGACGACCUAGGGGUCAUUCCCUAGCACUAUACUGCAUUCCUAAUAUGCAAUCAAAUUUGUAUGGGCCGCGACACCCAUCAGUAACCAAUCAAACAUGUUUAAUUGACUUGAGCGUCAAAGGGCCUUUGACAGGUACCCUCCCGCUCAGCUUGAAGACUGAAGGUGAAAGAUUAAGAACCAUAGUAACGGAGACCCAAGAUAACAUUAAGAAAACUAACUUAAAAGUGUGAAGGAGUAGUUCUCGACCCCACAUCUGAAACAUUUUGGACGCACCGUGGGGCCCAAGGAUUAACGAAGAAACCCAAUGACGACCACGAGAAACAUAGACGAUCAACAGGAUCCUAUGAAGAUGUUAAGGGAGAUGCAAAUACAUAUGCAUAACCACGUGUGAUGUCGAACGUUCUCUCUAUCAUUAAAAGGGGAGGCGUUGCAUUUUCCAACACCUUGCCUCCUAACACAGUGAAUUGCUUCGCCAUCGUGCGUUCCUUGUUCGAUAGACAAUACACCUUCAGUCGAGCUUAGAGUUUGACACACCUUGCGAGCAAUAUACCUCCCUCGGACUCCCAAGUUCAACCAAUAUACCCCUCUAAACACGUUGAGAGCAAGGAUUUUGGAAGAGGCACUCAACGUAAACCUAUUCCCCCCG
rnacentral:lncRNA from 1 species